AGCAGUGUAGCAUAGUGUUAAGGCGUAGGGCUCAGAACUGAAAGAUUGCUGGUUCAAAUCCCCACUGGGG